UACGUAGGGGGCGAGCGUUGUCCGGAUUUAUUGGGCGUAAAGCGCGCGUAGGCGGCGCAGCAAGUCGGCCGUGAAAGCGCCAGGCUUAACCUGGCGAGGUCGGGCGAGACUGCUGGGCUAGAGGCAGGCAGAGGGCGGUGGAAUUCCGGGUGUAGUGGUGGAAUGCGUAGAGAUCCGGAGGAACACCAGUGGCGAAGGCGGCCGCCUGGGCCUGUCCUGACGCUGAGGCGCGAAAGCGUGGGGAGCGAUCCGG
rnacentral:rRNA from 1 species